rnacentral:lncRNA from 1 species
CAAUUUCUAAAAUGGUCCAACUAAUUUUUAAGACUCAAAUUCACUCAAGCUCAUUACUUCAUCCUAAAACCCUAAACUCAUAUCUAUAUAAUAGAACAUAGACCUACGCACUCAACAAAAUUCACACACCCUAAAGCGAGAGCGGCAGACCCUUAAUCUCUCGAUCUUCUUGCUUUCAUAAACACACAUAGAGAGGCUGGAAAUAAAAGACUAAGAAAAAUCAUGUGAGCUCCAUCGUCCAGAAUCCCACAGCUCCCAACUUCAAAAGCCGUCGUCCCUCAUCUCUGUUCCACCAAUCAAUCGUCGAUUCUAGGACACCCCAUUUUCAGCCAUGGCUCACCAUAUUCUCUUCCAUUAGAACAUCCGCAAAUCAAUACAAAAUAAUCUCAAACCCAGCUGAAACUCACCUCCAAAACACUUAAAGAAAAGCCAAAAAUCGACAAAAAAAAACAGCCGUGAAAUUCGCUGAGAUUUGGAGGUCGGUUCGAGGUCCCGAAACUGCUGCACUUCCAUUUUAGUUCUAGUCGGUUCUCUCCAUUUGAGUUCAUUCGGCAUCGAUUCUAGCCGUUGUAACUUUGUUGGAGGAGCUUGCUAAUAAAGAAAAUUUGUCGUUGUUAAAGGUUCAUUCUCUUAACCCAAGUCUCUGUUUCAUGUAUCUGUUGGUGUUUUGCUAGAAUAUGGGUUUGAGUUUAUUGUAGUGAAAUUCUUGCCUGAAAUAACAUGAUGCAUAUUUGUUUGAGUUAACUAUGUAAUGCUUGGAUGGUGAUUCUGUUGGUUUAUUUAUGCUUAAGAGUUUGCUAUUUAAGCUCAAAUUUGACUAUUUUUAACCUUUCCAAUAAUGACAUGAAUUUUUAUUGUUUAAUAAAUUUAAGUGGGUCAGUAUUCCUAGAGAGGCACAAUUUAGAUUGUAUCUUUAUAUAAGAGUGGUGUAUUAAAUGGGUUGGGAACUCAAUUAUUUACUUGCACGCUUAAUCUUAGUUGUUGUUGUAUGCCCGGUAUGCUACAUUGAUUUUGAGAGGUAGUUUAAUCUAGUAUAAUUAUAUUGUUAGUGGGCUUGUGGAGAUCUAAUUGCUAUUUUACUGAUGGUGUAUCCAUUUUCUUAAUUAAUAAAACUUCUAUAAUAAAUAAUUUCAAUAACGAAAUACUAUAUUUUUCAUGACCACUAUAUAAUUCAUGACCUAGUAAUAAUCCCAAAGUUUAGUUCAAAUAAUUCAAAAACUUCGUAGCUUGUUUUUUAGGCACGCUUAUAACUUAUUUUUGUGAUUGUGUACACGUUCGCGUGAUAUAAUUAUGACCUUAAAAAAAUAAAAUUGGAGUAUGCGUUCGCAACUUCAACCAAACUUUUCUUUUUAAUAAUAAAAAAGCGUUAUUAAUCGUGGAUACAUUCACGUGACAUGAUUUUUUACGCGCCAAAGGAAAAAAGUAUAUGUACGCAUAACUCGAUUCUUUAAUUACGAGUAAUUCAAGUAUUUUAAAAGCGGUAAAAAGAUAAUGCACGUAGGUUUUAAAAAUGAGUAAUCAAAUAUUUAAGCCAAAUAUAAAUUGCUAAGCGAUCAUGCUAGAACCACAGAAUCCAGAGGUGCCUAACACCUUUCCCCGGGUAAACAGAAUUCCUCACUUAGAAUUUCUGGUUCGCAGACUCUUUUAAAAUAAAAACUUCCUUGAUUUGGGAUUUAAAAUAAUUCGGUGGCUUGGAACACCGUGAUUUAUUCCAAGUGGCGACUCUAUAAUUAAUUAAAUAAUCUCAUAUCGAAUAAUGUCACUUUAAUUGGAAAAACUCCCUUAUAUAAUAUCCUCACAGCGUGGUGUCGAAAAGGAGGUGUGACAAUAACUAUAAAGAAAUAUAGGACACCAGGGAUUUACCAAUAUGCAAUGGUGUUGGUCCUGACAAUGUUCUCCGAUUUUUGGAUGAACCGGGAAGGAACGUCGAGCAUGGGGAACUCUCCUCCCACCCAAGAGAUGAGUUGAAACAAUAGAACAUAAGUAUGAGUUUCAUCUCUUGGAAUUUUCGUGGUGCGGAAAAUGUGGAUUUUAGAAGAGCGUUUAGAUCCAUACUUGACUAUCAUAAACCUAGCGUGGUUGCUCUACUAGAAACAAGAUUAUUUGAUCAUCCUGUCAUUAUGGAGAAUUUUGAAUUUUCAGGUUUAGCACAAGUUACGGCAUAGCGGACUUCGAGAGGAAUGUCACUUAUGUGGAACAGUGAUGAAGUCAUUGUAGAUCAAAUAUGGGGAACUGACCAAGAGAUCCACGCCAUGGUAAAGGUAAAAUCUCUUCCAAAAACUUGUUUAUGUUCUAUUAUAUAUGCUAACAGUUUACUAGAAGAAAGAAUCACACUUUGGAAUAACCUUAAAAUUGUAGCAUGCAAUUACAAAGGACCUUUAUUAGUAUUAGGAGACUUUAAUGAAGUCACUAGAGCAAGUGAAAAAUUUGUGGUCUCCCUAUAAAUAAUAAUAGAAUCUCAAAAUUUAUUAAUUGCCUUAAUACCUGCAAUCUUAUAGACCUAGGUUUUAAAGGCCCGAAAUAUACCUGGUUAAAUAAAAGGAAAAGGAAUAAAAAAGCUUUUAUAAUGGAAAGACUAGGUAGAUUUGUAGCCAAUAGUGAAUGGAUCAGUUUGUUUCCUGAAGCUUGUGUAAACACCUGAUAAGAACCCACUCUGAUCACUGCCCUAUACAUCUUGACCCUAUUAAAAGACCUAGUAGAAAUAAUAAUAUAUUACCAUGUGGUUAUCACAUCUCACCUUUAAAGGCCUGGUAACAAACUAUCGGACAAAUCAACCCCAAUAUAUCUACUGCUAUUGAUGACUUCACUAACAAAACCAUUGCCUGGAAUAAAGAUACCUUUGGAAAUAUCUUCAAAAAGAAAAAGGAAAUCCAGGCUAGACUAGAAGACAUCCAAAAUUCCCCUAACUAUGCCACUAACAUAUUCUUGGCCAACCUAGAAGAGGAGUUUUUAGAAGAAGUUCAAAAAAUUCUCAAACUAGAAGAGGAAUUCUGGAAGUUGAAAUCAAGGAUCCAGUAGAUCCAGGAUGGUGAUGCAAACACAAAAUUCUACCAUCUCACAACUCUGCAAAAAAAAAAGAGGAAAAAUAGGAUCUUUAGCAUAAGGGACGAAGCUGGCAACUGGUUCCACAAUCCAAAGGAAUUGGGCCUCAUCAUAACUAAUUUCUAUAAAAAAUCUAUAUACCACAAACACCACCUCAUCCCAAAAAAUCUAAUUUAUAUGCCUGUUUUAUCCUAUGUUCCCCUAAAUGAACAUCUCUCCUUCAUUAAAGUACCAGAUGAGGGGGGAGUAAGAAAUGCUCUAUUCUCUUUUAAGCCUCUAAAAGCACCAGGACUGGAUGACAUCCACCCUUUCUUCUAUCAAAAAUUUUGGGGAAUUACUAGUAACCUUUCGGUUAACUUUUGCAAGGAAUCCUUCACUAAGAGAAAAAAUGAUUGAAGAAAUGAACAUUACUUAUGUCUGUUUAAUUACUAAGCACCAGAAUGCUAAGACUCUAAGGCAAUAUAGACCCAUUAGCCUAUGUAACACUGCCUAUAAGGUAGUAACCAAAAUUAUAGUUAAUAGAAUAAAACCUUUGCUCAACAAUAUUAUUCACCCUUCUCAAACUAGAUUUAUAAAGGGUAGGAGAGCCUCUGACAAUGCCAUUAUAGUGCAUGAAGUCCAAAACUAUUUCAAAAAUACAAAAUGAAAUAAAGGAAAAUUCAUUAUCAAAAUUGAUUUAGAAAAGGCUUUCGACAAACUGGAAUGGUCCUUCAUUAGAUUCUUCCUUAAAUCUCUAAACUUUUUAGAUGAGCUAAUUGAGCUUAUAAUGUCAUGUGUAUCUUCCACAUUCACCUCCAUUCUCAUAAAUGGUUCAAACACAGAAUUCUUCACCCCUACUAGGGGCAUCAGGCAAGGAGACCCCCUAUCCCCGUAUAUAUUUAUAAUUUGUAUGAAAAUGCUCUCUAGGCUCAUUGACCAUGAGGUAGAUUGUCGUAGAUAGGACCCUAUAACCUUAUCUAAAAAGGGUCCCCAAUUAUCUCACCUUUUCUUUGCAGACGACCUUAUCCUAAUGAUGGAGACAAACCAAAAAAAUUGUAACUCUCUUAUAGAUACCUUGAAUAAAUUUUAUGAAUUCUCCAGCCAAUUCAUCAAUUUCAGCAAAUCAAAAAUUAUCUUUUCAAAAAAUACCCACCCAGAUAAACAGACUCUACUCAGUAGGUGUUUAAGUAUGAAAAUAUCCUGCUCAAUAGAGAAAUACCUAGGCUUCCCCAUAACUAACAAGAGGCUAUUCAUAAAGGACUUCCAAUUUAUUAUGGAUAAUCUAAACAACAAACUAAAAGGAUGGAAAAGCCGCUUCCUGAACCUAGCAGGAAGAACCACUCUCAUUAAAGCAACCCUUGCAGUCAUUCCUAACCACAACAUGCAAACCUUUGAUCUACCAAAAGCUACCCAAAACAAGAUAGAUUCAUUCAAACGGAACUUUCUAUGGGGUAGCACGGAGGGAAAAAGAAAGUGUCACCUCCUAAAUUGGAAUAAAGUCACUUCUCAAAAAAAUCAGAGAGGCCCGGGACUCUAUUAAACCAGCCACAAAAAUAAGGCCUUCAGCACCAGCCUUACCUGGAGAUACUUGAACAAUAAAGAAGCCAUUUGGGUCAAGAUUCUAUACAGUAAAUAUGAUAGGAUUACCCUUUGCAAUAAUAAAUUAAUCCCUAAUCCUGGAUCCUCUCAUAUCUGCAAAAAUAUUCACAAGAGAAAAAAGAUUUGUCAGAAAGGGAUUAUCUGGACUAUUGGUAAUGGGUGAAAACAUAAAUGUUGGAAUAACCGUUGAAUAAACCAAGGAAACAAUCUAAGAAAGAGUGUCCAGGGUUCUUUCCAAAAUGGGGAAGAAGACAUGGAUGUCAGCUCAAUCAUCCAUCAUGGUUCCUUUAAUCUAUCAACUAUAUCCUUCGAGAUUCCUGAAGACAUAAUCCAAACAAUCCAUAGCACUUAUAUACAACAAUCCCAACCUGGUAUAGUUAAAAUAUCCUGGAACUCACUAGGCCAUAAUUCCUUCUCAGUCAAGGAAGCAUACGAUCUUGCUUCUCUCCAGGAAACUCAGACUAAGGAAAACAACCUCGACUACAAGUGGAUCUGGAAAUGUAACACCCUUAAUAAGCUAAAGUACUUCAUGUGGUUACUUAACCUCAAUAGACUUCCAACAACCACCUUCCUAGCAAAACGUAAUAUCUGCACUUCAGAUAUUUGUACCAUCUGUGGAACUGAAAAGGAGGACAUAAAACAUAUACUCUUCUACUGUACCUACUCAAAGAAAAUAUGGAUGCCACAUAAAUACAACUACCCAUCCUUAGACAACAGAUUAACUACCUUCCAUUAGCUAAAAUACUAACUAAAAUCAAACAAUAGCUUUAAUCGAUACAUCUCUUGGCCCAACUUCUUACAUUUCCUCCUUGGUAUUUAUGGACCACUAGAAAUAAAAGAAUGUUUCACAAAAAUAGCCCAUAUCCCAACAUUAGCAAAGUGAUCAAUAACACUCGUGAAUUCCUCUUCCUUAGCAAUUGGAGCCCUACUAGAUCACCAAAAAGAAUAAUUCUCAUAGAAUGGGACCCACCAGACCUAGGAACCUACAAACUAAACAUAGACGGAUCAUGUCUAAGUAGCCUAGGAAAGGGAGGCACAGGGGGGUCUUCAGAGACAACAACGGGAAAUGGAUACUAGGUUUUAGUAAGGGGUUCGCCAAUGCAACGAAUAUCCAAAUGGAAGCCAUGUCCUUAUUACAAGGUCUACAAUUAGCCAUCUAGAAAGACUAACCCCUUUAGUCAUUGAAACAGACUGCCAGGACCUUAUUAAUUUGAUUAACAAUGAAAAAAAAUUUAUCAAAAUAUUAUUGAUGAUUGCAGGUUCCUAUUAUCUGAGGUGUGAUCACCACCAUUGAAACAUGCAUUCAGGGAAGCUAAUGGGGUAGCAGACACCUUAGCCAAUAAUGGAUGCAGUCUAGACUCUUUUGCUGAUUUAAAAUUAUACUAUUAUCCACAUGUAUUUGCUAUUUUAAUUUUUAAUAGAGAUGGGAUAAGUAUUGCGUGGCCUAGACAAAUCUCAUAUUGUAAUAACUACUUAGUUUAUGUUAUGAAUAAAAUGUCUCUAAUUACCAAAAAAGGCUAAAAUUUUGCAUACGUUUUAAAAUCCAAGAUUCUGC